GAAACGACUGCUAAGACUGGAUAGGAGACAAGAAGGCAUCUUCUUGUUUUUAAAAGACCUAGCAAUAGGUAUGCUUAGGGAGGAGCUUGCGUCACAUUAGUUAGUUGGUGGGGUAAAGGCCUACCAAGACUAUGAUGUGUAGCCGGGCUGAGAGGUUGAACGGCCACAUUGGGACUGAGACACGGCCCGAACUCCUACGGGAGGCAGCAGUAGGGAAUUUUCGGCAAUGGAGGAAACUCUGACCGAGCAACGCCGCGUGAACGAUGAAGUAUUUCGGUACGUAAAGUUCUUUUAUUAGGGAAGAAUAAAUGAUGGAAAAAUCAUUCUGACGGUACCUAAUGAAUAAGCCCCGGCUAACUAUGUGCCAGCAGCCGCGGUAAUACAUAGGGGGCAAGCGUUAUCCGGAAUUAUUGGGCGUAAAGGGUGCGUAGGCGGUUAAAUAAGUUUAUGGUCUAAGUGCAAUGCUCAACAUUGUGAUGCUAUAAAAACUGUUUAGCUAGAGUAAGAUAGAGGCAAGUGGAAUUCCAUGUGUAGUGGUAAAAUGCGUAAAUAUAUGGAGGAACACCAGUAGCGAAGGCGGCUUGCUGGGUCUUUACUGACGCUGAGGCACGAAAGCGUGGGGAGCAAACAGGAUUAGAUACCCUGGUAGUCCACGCCGUAAACGAUGAGUACUAAACGUUGGGUAAAACCAGUGUUGAAGUUAACACAUUAAGUACUCCGCCUGAGUAGUACGUACGCAAGUAUGAAACUUAAAGGAAUUGACGGGACUCCGCACAAGCGGUGGAUCAUGUUGUUUAAUUCGAAGGUACCCGAAAAACCUCACCAGGUCUUGACAUGCUUCUGCAAAGCUGUAGAAACACAGUGGAGGUUAUCAGUUGCACAGGUGGUGCAUGGUUGUCGUCAGCUCGUGUCGUGAGAUGUUGGGUUAAGUCCCGCAACGAGCGCAACCCUUAUUGUUAGUUACCAGCACGUAAUGGUGGGGACUUUAGCAAGACUGCCAGUGAUAAAUUGGAGGAAGGUGGGGACGACGUCAAAUCAUCAUGCCCCUUAUGACCUGGGCUACAAACGUGAUACAAUGGCUGUUACAAAGGGUAGCUGAAGCGCAAGUUUUUGGCGAAUCUCAAAAAAACAGUCUCGGUUCGGAUUGAAGUCUGCAACUCGACUUCAUGAAGUUGGAAUCGCUAGUAAUCGCGAAUCAGCAUGUCGCGGUGAAUACGUUCUCGGGAUUUGUACACACCGCCCGUCA
rnacentral:rRNA from 1 species